rnacentral:rRNA from 1 species
AACGAACGCUGGCGGCGUGGAUAAGACAUGCAAGUCGAACGAUCACUAUUGAGUAGCAAUAUUUGGUAGUGGGAGUGGCGCAAGGGUGCGUAACACGUGGGUAAUUUGCCGUAAAGUCUGGGAUAACUUGCUGAAAGGCGAGCUAAUACCGGAUGUGAUUGCUGGGGGGCAUCCUCUGGCACUUAAAGUCGGGGACCGCAAGGCCUGACACUUUUCGAUAAGCCCGCGGCCUAUCAGCUAGUUGGUGAGGUAACGGCUCACCAAGGCUAAGACGGGUAGCUGGUCUGAGAGGACGACCAGCCACACUGGAACUGAGACACGGUCCAGACACCUACGGGUGGCAGCAGUCGAGAAUUUUUCUCAAUGGGGGAAACCCUGAAGGAGCGACGCCGCGUGGGGGAUGAAUGGCUUCGGCCCGUAAACCCCUGUCAUUUGCGAUCAAACCUUACGACCUAACACGUCGUAAGCUGAUAGUAGCGAAAGAGGAAGGGACGGCUAACUCUGUGCCAGCAG